rnacentral:rRNA from 1 species
UCACACAAGAAACCCAAGUUAACCGUAUACGGCGUAAAGAGUGGACCAAUAAUUAUCACAACAAUUAAGGCCAAAACGUAGCUGAGCUGUCAUAAGCCUAAGAUACACCUAAAACCACCCUAAAGACGGCCUUAACCUUAUGAUCAAUUAAACUCCACGAAAGCCAGGACACAAACUGGGAUUAGAUACCCCACUAUGCUUGGCCCUAAAUCUCAAUGCUUACCAUACUAAAGCAUUCGCCUGAGAACUACGAGCACAAACGCUUAAAACUCUAAGGACUUGGCGGUGCCACAAACCCACCUAGAGGAGCCUGUCCUGUAAUCGACAACCCACGAUACACCCGACCACUUCUUGCCAAAACAGCCUACAUACCGCCGUCGCCAGCUCACCUCCCUUGAGAGCACAACAGUGAGCACAAUUGCCCUAACCACGCCAAUAAGACAGGUCAAGGUAUAGCCCAUGAAGUGGAAGAGAUGGGCUACAUUUUCUAACCUAGAAAACCCCUACUUCAAUACAACGGAAAGGAGUAUGAAACAACUCCUAGAAGGCGGAUUUAGCAGUAAAGCGGGAUAACAUAAGCCCUCUUUAAACCGGCUCUGAGGCACGUACAUACCGCCCGUCACCCUCCUCACAAGCUUCAACCCAUCAUAAAUAAUUAAACCCCCUUGCCAAAGAUGAGGUAAGUCGUAACAAGGUAACGUGUACCGG